CUGCAAAAUUGAGGGGUUGACACAUGGCUUAUAUUCGGGCACUUGAGUUAUGUUGAGCCAGUGGUACGACCGGCUUUUUUGUCG
rnacentral:ncRNA from 2 species